AUGAUAUUACAAAUACUGAGUGUCUGGUUAGGAGUAACAAAUAUAAUGUACCCACAGGGAGUGAGCCAUUUUUAUAAAAAUAUUGCCAAAAAUCCCAGAGAUAAGUCAUGCAGAAUAUGUUAAAAAGCUUUUUGGAUUUUCAGCCAAUCAGAAAGCAGCACUACUCAAAUAGAACUCCCGUGAGGUCACACAUGUGAUGUCAUCACCACUGUCAUCAGUGAGGGGCCUAAACUGUAGGAACCUAGGAAUGCAACUUCAUACCCGCCUGUGACUGAUGCACACCUUCCAGGCUGUGGGGCAGCACAUACACGGACACAUUGGCCCAAAUUCUAGAGGUAACCUCCUUUAGUAUGCCCAGAGGAAGGGCAGUACAGUAGCCAUGGAUUCCCUACAGGUUUCCUCCCCUCUGGAGGUUUUUCCUGUCCUGAGUUAGUUACUGUCCGCUCUUUGUGAGUGAUGGAGGUUACAUAAAAUCCCUACACAAACAUUUUAAUAAAUAAUAAAUAAAGUUCCCUUUGUUUAAACUGUU